ACCGUUACUAUGGUAAUCCUGUUUAGUAUGAAAGGAACUGCAGGUUUAGAUAAUUGGUAUAUGUGCCUGGUCGAAAGGCCAAUGGUGCGAAGCUACCAUCUGAGGGAUUAAGACUGAACGCCUCUAAGUCUGAAUCCCGUCCAAAUUUGCAACGGUACAUUCUGUAUCCGACACGUGGCUGGGCAAGCUUACGUAUUCCUUUUGGUGUCUGGACUGGACCAUGAGUUCGGCUAGGCCCAUUAGGUUUGAUGUUAUGCCAGAGUGAUGAUCAUAAACCGUGCCCCGGAUUUUGGGGUACGGGGGUCGACACGAUAUCUAAUUGUGGUAUGAGCGUGAGGAUACUAAAUCGUUUGUAGACGACUUAAUGUUUUGUCGGGGAGACGUAAGUGCUCGAGCAGCUUUCACACUGCGAGGCAUUGAAUCCUAUCCCUGCUUGACGUAAUGAUUU
rfam:Schistosoma margrebowiei strain Zambia genome assembly, scaffold: SMRZ_contig0000992